CAGCUCCCAGCUUCAAUGCACUGGCAGCAAUAACAAUCCAAAAGCAAUUCAGGUUGGAUUUUACAAGCCUUUAAACACAUUAUCUCUGAUUCCAGUCAAAUCAUCACUCCUGGAUGAUAUUCCUAUAAGACACGGUCAGCAGAUGUUCCUGAGUGUGAAUCCAGCUGCUUUGUCUGCUGAUGUAUGGACAGAUGUGACUUUAUCUUGUCUCAUGUCCAGGGGUGGAAUUCCAGUUUUGGGAGGCAGGAUGGCAGCAGGAAUGGACCCAGCAGGGUAUUUUGACAGGAGGUCAGGAGGAGAGGACUGAGACUGAGGAGGCCUCGAUGCUCUGCUGGGUUCCCCCAUCCCCAAACCAGGUGGGUACAGGGAGAAACUGCCCAUAGAAAAAAAAAAAAAACCAAAAAAAAAACCCAAGCAAACCCGUCAUGGUUUCUCAGGACAGGCUGGAGAACCAGCAGGAAAUUCUGCUCCUGCCCUGAGCUCAUCCCCCAGCGUGGGCAGCAGGAUGAGAAACAGAAUCCCCCCCCCCGCCCCUCUCAGGUGAAACCUCACCUGCAGAGCUCAGCCCUGCCAUCAACAUCAGGAGGAGCUGGAGCUGCUGGAGAGAGUCCAGAGGAGGCCACAGAGCUGCUCCAGGGCUGGGAGCAGAGUUUGGGUUUCCAGAGCUCCCAGAGACCCUUUCCAGCCUCCUCCUGCCCUUCCCAAGCAAAGGUCAGAUCCCGCUCCCACCUUGGGGUGUUCCCAGCACAGGAAGGACCUGGAGCUGCUGCAGGGCUGAGCCCCUCUGGAGCCAGGCUGGGAGAGCUGGGGGUGACACCUGCAGAGGAGAAGCUCCAGGAGAGCUCAGAGCCCCUGGCAGGGCCUGGAGGGGCUCCAGGAGAGCUGCAGAGGGACUGGGGACAAGGCAG
rnacentral:lncRNA from 1 species